CUGGCGGCACGCCUAACACAUGCAAGUCGAACGAAGUAGCAAUACUUAGUGGCAGACGGGUGAGUAACAUGUAGGUAUCUGCCCUUUGGCCUGGAAUAACACGAGGAAACUUGUGCUAAUACCGGAUAAGUCUUCACGGAGAAAGCUUUAUGCACCAUUGGAUGAGCCUGCACUUGAUUAGUUUGUUGGUAGGGUAAUGGCCUACCAAGACUGUGAUCAAUAGCUGAUUUGAGAGGAUGAUCAGCCACAUUGGGACUGAGACACGGCCCAAACUCCUACGGGAGGCAGCAGUGGGGAAUCUUGCACAAUGGAGGAAACUCUGAUGCAGCGAUGCCGCGUGAGUGAAGAAGGCCUUUGGGUUGUAAAGCUCUUUCGUCGGGGAAGAAAAUGACUGUACCCGAAUAAGAAGGUCCGGCUAACUUCGUGCCAGCAGCCGCGGUAAUACGAAGGGACCUAGCGUAGUUCGGAAUUACUGGGCUUAAAGAGUUCGUAGGUGGUUGAAAAAGUUGGUGGUGAAAUCCCAGAGCUUAACUCUGGAACUGCCAUCAAAACUUUUCAGCUAGAGUUUGAUAGAGGAAAGCAGAAUUUCUAGUGUAGAGGUGAAAUUCGUAGAUAUUAGAAAGAAUACCAAUUGCGAAGGCAGCUUUCUGGAUCAUUACUGACACUGAGGAACGAAAGCAUGGGUAGCGAAGAGGAUUAGAUACCCUCGUAGUCCAUGCCGUAAACGAUGUGUGUUAGACGUUGGAAAUUUAUUUUCAGUGUCGCAGCGAAAGCGAUAAACACACCGCCUGGGGAGUACGACC
rnacentral:rRNA from 1 species